AUAACGCAUCAGGGCAGGUGACCCACGUCACCGGGGUGAUGCACUGGUGCUCGCCGGGGCGGGCGCUGUGCCUGCGGGAGCCGCGCGGCCGGCGCGGUGUCGGGGCGCCUCGUGGGGGCCGAGCCGCGCCCGCACGUCCCUCAGAAACGGGAUCUCACAAUGUUGGUCUGAAACUCCUGAGCUCAUGUGAUCCUCCUGCCUCAGCCUCCCGAGUUGCUGGGAUUACAGGCAUGAGCCGCCGUGCCCAGCUAGUUUAUUUUUAUAUUCUGUAUUACUGUGGACCGGAAAAUCCAAGAGUUUGCCUGUACCCUAUGGGAAAAUUGUCUCUCAGCUGCAACGUGCCCAGCGUUCUCAGCAGUCAGGGCAAAUUCAACUACAGCAGCCACCGCCCAUCUUACCGAAGCUAAACCAGACAUGGAUGUUAUUAUCUGCUGCAUCCAGCAUUUGUUUAGAGCUUUCUGCUUCACAAAGCAACUCAUUAUCUUAAUCUUCACCAUCAUCCUACAUUGCUCUUACUUCCACUUUAUGAACAGUCAGUCUCAGAAAGCUAAGGCAUCUUCCUCAAAGCAGCUGUAGGAUUCAAACUGUGUGUCCGGGGACUCCAGAUUCUUUGUGCUUUCUACACAUUUAGAUUUCAUGGUAACAUCAAAAAUCAGGAUUCCUGGAUCUGGAGCAGUUUAUUCCCUCGGCCUUCCUCCCACCCAUUGCCAUCCCAGCCCAUUUCUAUAACCAUCAAAUGGGCAAUGUUUUUUUUUUUUUUUU
rnacentral:lncRNA from 1 species